rnacentral:rRNA from 1 species
CCUACGGGUGGCAGCAGUGAGGAAUAUUGGUCAAUGGACGAGAGUCUGAACCAGCCAAGUAGCGUGAAGGAUGACUGCCCUAUGGGUUGUAAACUUCUUUUAUAUGGGAAUAAAAUGUUCCCCGUGUGGGAUUUUAUAUGUACCAUAUGAAUAAGGAUCGGCUAACUCCGUGCCAGCAGCCGCGGUAAUACGGAGGAGGCGAGCGUUAUCCGGAUUUUUUGGGUUUAAAGGGUGCGUAGGCGGAAUGCCAAUUCAGCGGUAAAAUCGCGGGGCUCAACCUCGCCCCGCCGUUGAAACUGGCGUGCUUGAGUGCGCGAGAAGUAUGCGGAAUGCGUGGUGUAGCGGUGAAAUGCAUAGAUAUCACGCAGAACUCCGAUUGCGAAGGCAGCAUACCGGCGCCCAACUGACGCUGAAGCACGAAAGCGUGGGUAUCGAACAGGAUUAGAUACCCGUGUAGUC